rnacentral:lncRNA from 1 species
AACAUUUUUGGAGCUCCACUAUGUGCAAGAUACUGUGUGUUCUCCUGUGAUGUUCACAAAAAUCCUUUGAAGCAGGUGCUGUCUCCAUGUUUCAGGAGCCUCCAUCUUUGGCACUCUGGUUGUGAUCCAUGGACCAGCUGCAUGAGGUUACCUGGGAGCUUGUUAAAAAUACAGAACCUCAGUUCCACUCCAGGCCUUCUGAAGAGAAUCAUCUUUGCAGCAAGAUCAUUGAUAUCUGUAUGCACAAUAAAGUUUUAGAAGCACUGUUCUAAAUUUCUCAAAUUCCUUAUCAGUAAUUCACAAACAUGUGGCC